rnacentral:rRNA from 1 species
GAUGAACGCUGGCGGCGUGCCUAAUACAUGCAAGUCGAGCGAACGGACGAUAAGCUUUCUUCUCUGAUGUUAGCGGCGGACGGGUGAGUAACACGUGGAUAACCUACCUAUAAGACUGGGAUAACUUCGGGAAACCGGAGCUAAUACCGGAUAAUAUUUUGAACCGCAUGGUUCAAAAGUGAAAGACGGUCUUGCUGUCACUUAUAGAUGGAUCCGCGCUGCAUUAGCUAGUUGGUAAGGUAACGGCUUACCAAGGCAACGAUGCAUAGCCGACCUGAGAGGGUGAUCGGCCACACUGGAACUGAGACACGGUCCAGACUCCUACGGGAGGCAGCAGUAGGGAAUAUUGCGCAAUGGGCGAAAGCCUGACGGAGCAAUGCCGCGUGAGUGAAGAAGGUCUUCGGAUCGUAAAACUCUGUUAUUAGGGAAGAACAUAUGUGUAAGUAACUGUGCACAUCUUGACGGUACCUAAUCAGAAAGCAACGGCUAACUACGUG